rnacentral:rRNA from 1 species
GGAAUUUUGGACAAUGGGGGCAACCCUGAUCCAGCCAUGCCGCGUGAGUGAAGAAGGCCUUCGGGUUGUAAAGCUCUUUCAGACGGAAAGAAACGGUCACGGUCAAUACCCGUGACUAAUGACGGUACCGUCAGAAGAAGCACCGGCUAACUACGUGCCAGCAGCCGCGGUAAUACGUAGGGUGCGAGCGUUAAUCGGAAUUACUGGGCGUAAAGCGUGCGCAGGCGGUUUGGCAAGACAGACGUGAAAUCCCCGGGCUUAACCCGGGAACUGCGUUUGUGACUGCCAGGCUAGAGUGCGGCAGAGGGGGGUAGAAUUCCACGUGUAGCAGUGAAAUGCGUAGAUAUGUGGAGGAAUACCGAUGGCGAAGGCAGCCCCCUGGGUCGACACUGACGCUCAUGCACGAAAGCGUGGGGAGCAAACA